rnacentral:rRNA from 1 species
ACAGAGGUGGCUAGCGUUGUUCGGUAUCACUGGGCUUAAAGCGUGUGUAGGCGGAAGCGUAAGCAUUUUGUGAAAUCCCCCGGCUUAACCGGGGAAUCGCUUGAUGUACUGCGUUUCUUGAGGCAGGUAGGGGUGCGAGGAACUCUUGGUGGAGCGGUGGAAUGCGUAGAUAUCAAGAGGAACGCCGGUGGUGAAGACGUCGCACUGGGCCUGUCCUGACGCUGAGACACGAAAGCGUGGGGAGCGAACGG